CUUUCUCCUCUUCCUCUUGUAUCAGAGGGAGGAAGAGGAGUAAGGAUUUCUUCUGAAGUUAAACCAGCUGUUAUUACAAACCUUAGUCAUUUUGAUGCAAUUCAAAUGCAAACAUUGAAAUUCUUCUGAUCAUUAAGUGUUUUCGGGUGUACUCGACAAGCAAUUACAAGUUGUUCUUUUUUCCAUGAAUCCGUGAAUCCGUUGCUGCAAGUAGUUCCGGAUGUGGGUGACGCAUAGAAAAUGCAACAAGUCCUUAGAACCUUUGAAAAAAAAAAUCGUUAACAUUCGUGAAGUAACUCAUCAUUUGGCCAUAUGAAUCCGUCCCUCAAGAUGCAAAGAUCACCUACAGCCUUCCACUUGGAUAAAGAACCGGUCGACGGCGCAGCUCCUCUGGGAGCUACUACACAAAUCUAAGAACCUUCUGGAGACUACUGGGCAAACCCUCAGCGUGAAUUAGUGUAAGAUUUAGUUUUAGUUACUCUUUGGAUAUAUCAGAAGCCUUCUAACGUUACUUUAUAUUAUGUGCAACCACCUAUACUGCUACUAAAAUUCAUUAAUCAUAGAGUCAAAAGGAAUACUCUGAAUUAGAUGCCGAACAAAUGUUGUGAUGGUACCGCAUAGACAUGUUCUAGUUGUGCCCGUUUCAUGUAAUUAUUUUAUCUCGUAUCCUGUCCUAAAUUUAGUUUUGAAAUUGCAUUUAAGAAGUUUAAUAAAAUUUGGUCAAUGACUUACGUUAAGUUGACACGGUGGCCUCCCAGUUAGUGUGGACUUGCAACAUAUAUACUAGCAUUAAGGUCGGUGGCUCCCAGUAAGUGUGUUGAUCCUACAUAGAGCAUGUUGAAAGUUGGUCCAUUUGUCGAGGAAGAUAAAAAACAAUGUUUCCUGUAUUUACCUUAUAAGUUUCUCCCUAUGGUAUUGCAUCUAACUGGGUCUCAUGUUUAUGCGUAUUGACGGUGGGCGAGUGCGCGUUUCAUGCUAGUCUAGCACUGUAACUACCUCAGGUAUUAUCGUUAAGUUUAGGAAUAUAUCACUUUCUCUGUAAUGAUUUCCUUCUGUUCGAGUAUACAUGUACAAUACACUAUACUAUAUCAUGUAUACAAGGAAUACUAAAACAUUUUAGAAUUCCGCUCAUUUCGUAAAUGGAAAGUGAACGCAUGUUCAUGUGAAUGUCUAUAUAUAAACGUAUAUGUAUAUACACACAUGCGUGCAUAUACACGCAUAUAUAUCAUAUAUAUAUAUAUAUAUGCAUACGCGUAUAUGUAUAUAUGCACACAUGACCAUAUAUAUAUACACAUACACGUAUAUUUAUAUGUUUACGCAUGCAGGGAUAUAAGCAAGUGUGUGGAGAUGUAUAUCUAUCUUGAAAUGAUGCAAUUGUGUUUAGUCUUCCUAUGCUGGAUUCCAAAUUGGUGCUACUAUUUUAAGGAUUAUAUGCUGUA